rnacentral:rRNA from 1 species
CCCUUAGAUGUUCUGGGCCGCACGCGUGCUACACUGAGUGGAUCAGCGGGUCAGGUUGCGCGAAAGUGUUUCCUAAUUUUUAAAUCCGCUCGUGAUGGGGAUUGACGGUUGCAAUUUUCCGUCAUGAACGAGGAAUACCUUGUAAGCGCGGGUCAUCAUCCCGCGCUGAAUACGUCCCUGCCCUUUGUACACACCGCCCGUCGCUCCUACCGAUUGAGUGGUCCGGUGAGGCUUUGGGAUCUGAGCGGAAAGAGCGUUUCGCUGUUUCUGCCCGGAAAACUCAGUCGAACCUUAUCAUUUAGAGGAAGGAGAAGUCGUAACA